rnacentral:rRNA from 1 species
UACGUAGGGGGCAAGCGUUGUUCGGAAUUACUGGGCGUAAAGGGCGCGUAGGCGGCCGGUCAAGUCGGGGGUGAAAGCCUGUGGCUCAACCACAGAAUUGCCUUCGAUACUGUUUGGCUUGAGACCGGAAGAGGUAAGUGGAACUGCGAGUGUAGAGGUGAAAUUCGUAGAUAUUCGCAAGAACACCAGUGGCGAAGGCGGCUUACUGGUCCGGUUCUGACGCUGAGGCGCGAAAGCGUGGGGAGCAAACAGG